ACUUCUGAAGAAGCCCCGCUGUCUCCCUAGGCCUAGCCCGUGAGGGUGUGGCCUUUGUGUGCUCCGGAGAUGCACCAGGAGCCUGAGCACAGGGAAUCCCCGUUCUGCUCCUUGGGGCUCUGAAGUUUGCCACUGCUAGGCAGAGAGCUAGCUUCUCCAGGGGUGCCCCAGAAUAGGAGGGACUGACCUCGGUGUUUCUCCCGGAAGCCCUGGCGAGUCUGCGUUUCCUCCCAUGUGGCCAAGGCGAGGGACCCAGAAAAAAGAACUGCUCUGAAUUUUGCUUUUUCCCAACUGGUAUAAGGGAGCAGCAGUCCUCUAUAAGGCAACUGCGGAGAAAGUAAGAAAAGUCUGCACGUGGGAGGUCUGAAAAGGGAGGACCUAAAGGUUGUACAGGGUUCCAAACCCACUCAACCACCAAAUGUUUCCCUGUAGGGUUACUAGGAACCAGGAAUCCACUCCGAGCCAAAGGUACCUCUGGGAGAGGAGCAUGCACCUCCUCAGAGAGAGAGGGGUUAAAUGAGGUGCUCACUGGCCUUGGCAGUCACUGGGUCCCCACCCGGAAAUGGGGGGCUUGGUGGCUAAAAGGGAGGGGGAGGUUGUCUCUUAGAAACAGCUGACUGCGCCCCCUCCCGCAAACGGUCUUGCACUCCAGAUUGCUGGGGUGCAAAGAAGAAAAGAGCCUCCCUUUCAAGCAUUCGCCACGGCAUCUGGAACACCAGAACAAUCUACCUGGAAACAGCAAGCUCCUAGAGGCAGGAUGAGCACUGCUGGGUCCCAAACCCUCGCCUCAGGAGCCAGAGCUGCGGGGAGUGGAAAGUCGACUGGCAAGAACACACACGGAGAAAUGGGCAGAUGCAUCUGGCAAGGGGGCUGGGGGAAGGACGCAUGCAAGAACUAAACCUGCAACUUGCACAGCACGGGAAAUGGAAAUGCAUUCCUCUGAGCCCAGGAAUUGAGUUUCUGAAAUCUGAAUUGUUGGGGUGCCUGAAACUCUGCUGUCUAAUGGAUGAAUGGGAUCAAAACAUGAAGAUAUGAUUACCAUGAAUCCUUUGUACAAUGUGUUCCACUUAACUAUUAAUAACAGACCACCCUAAAAUACUUCUUGGCUUAAAAUAACAGCCAUCAUUUAUUUAGCCUGAAUUUAGAAUUUGGACAAGGCUCACUGAGGAAAGCGUACCUCUGAUCCACUUCUCACAUGGUUUGCCAUAUACCUGACAGGCUGUGUUGGUUGUUGGCUCUGGGUUGAGCACUCGACAGGCACUGAAAACCAGGGACCUUAGUUUCUCUCCAUGCGGGGCUUUCCAUGUGCAUUACGCCACAGAUUCUCAAAGACUUCCUCACCGCAUAGUGGUUGGGUUCACCAGGAGAGCUCCAACAGUGAUCAGACCCUUUCCAAAUAAUGAAAACCUGAACAGUUUAGCCUUACCAAACAUACAAAUUCAUCCAGUCUUCAAACGAUAUCGUAAAUGGUAGCCCAGAUCAUACCAGGCAAAUUGAACCAGUGAACUAACUAAUCAUUUGAACUAUUUAGGCAAAUGGAUCAAUUUUUCUUUCACUUAUUGAGAUAAGCGCAUCAACAAAUGGAGUUGUAGUCAAUUAAAUGAAUUCAUAAUAUUUUCUAUAUUAAAAAGGUAAUGAUGACUUCA